UCCAGCCUGACUCAUAGCCUUUGUGGCAAACUGAACUAACUUUUACAUUCUGGGAAGCUUGCCAACACUCUCAUACAAAGUAUCCAGUUACGGACUCACUUCAAGCAUAACCUAGGAUUGAUACAAAUGUUGCAAUUUCCUUGCUACGGAGCUCUCAGUGUGUUUCAAUAAAGUACCUGUAAAUAUUUCCCUGCAUUUCCACUGACAACUUGGAUGUUAUACACUGAAACUGAAUAGAGAUUGGAAUUCAGAGACUCCUCAGCUGCAGUAAGGACACUCCUCAAUUCAGCUGACCACAGGAUUGGAAAUCCCAUCAAGCUGCAAAGAUAUCUCAUCAAGUAACCCAUUGAGUUCCAGGUGAAGGUGUAGAAUACUGCUAAUUGUCAAGUGAUACCCCCGGUCAUAAGAUAACGCCUAACAAUUCUGGUGUCAGAGCAUGGGAUUCACACAGGGGUGAAGGUGUAGAAUACUGCUAAUUGUCAAGUGAUACCCCUGAUCAUAAGAUAGCGCCUAUCAAUUCUGGUGUAAGAGUGUGGGAUUCACACAGGGAACACAGAGUGGAAUAAAGAUGAAACGAACCAAUUGCUGCUUGGUGAAACAUGCUGAAAAAAGACAAUCACUCAUC